rnacentral:rRNA from 1 species
GGCAUUGCCUUAGUAACGGCGAGUGAAGCGGCAACAGCUCAAAUUUGAAAGCUGGCUCCUUUGGAGUCCGCGUUGUAAUUUGUAGAGGAUGAUUCGGCAAGGGCUCCCGCCUAAGUCUCCUGGAACGGAGCGUCAUAGAGGGUGAGAAUCCCGUAUGCGGUGGGCUGCCUAAGCCAUGUGAAUCUCCUUCGACGAGUCGAGUUGUUUGGGAAUGCAGCUCUAAAUGGGAGGUAAAUUUCUUCUAAAGCUAAAUACCGGCCAGAGACCGAUAGCGCACAAGUAGAGUGAUCGAAAGAUGAAAAGCACUUUGGAAAGAGAGUUAAAAAGUACGUGAAAUUGUUGAAAGGGAAGCGCUUGCAGCCAGACUUGUCCGCAGUUGCUCAGCCGGUCUCCUGACCGGUGUACUCUUCUGCGGCCAGGCCAGCAUCAGUUCGGGCGGUCGGAUAAAGACCUCGGGAAUGUAGCUCCUCUCGGGGAGUGUUAUAGCCCGGGGUGGAAUGCGGCCAGCCUGGACUGAGGAUCUCGCUUCGGCUAGGAUGCUGGCGUAAUGGCUGUAAGCGGCCCGUCUUGAAACACGGACCAAGGAGUCUAACAUCUAUGCGAGUGUUUGGGUGUCAAACCCAUGCGCGUAAUGAAAGUGAACGGAGGUGGGAACCCUCACGGGUGCACCAUCGACCGAUCCUGAUGUCUUCGGAUGGAUUUGAGUAAGAGCAUAGCUGUUGGGACCCGAAAGAUGGUGAACUAUGCCUGAAUAGGGUGAAGCCAGAGGAAACUCUGGUGGAGGCUCGCAGCGGUUCUGACGUGCAAAUCGAUCGUCAAAUUUGGGUAUAGGGGCGAAA